CGUAAAUGGGGACUGCGGAGGAUCAUUAAUGAGGUUUAUCGGUCAGUGCUGGUGUUCGCAUGAACGCAUGUGCACGGCCGUCUUCCUUCUAUCAACCCCUGUGCACUUUAUUAAAUGAGGUGGGGAUGAGAUGGGUUGGGUGAGAAGCGCGUCGCGUGCGAGAUUAACGUAGUAGUUGUGGGUCCACCACGCGAAAAGGUUAAUCUUGUUGUAGUGGCGCGUGGUACUACCUGUUCGCGCCGUCUUCUCCCUGCUUUAUUUUUAAUACAAACCACACAUAUUAGUCUUGUCGAAUGUUCAGUCCUACGGGACGCUAAAUCAUAAUACAACUUUCAACAACGGAUCUCUUGGCUCUCGCAUCGAUGAAGAACGCAGCGAAAUGCGAUAAGUAAUGUGAAUUGCAGAAUUCAGUGAAUCAUCGAAUCUUUGAACGCACCUUGCGCCCUUUGGUAUUCCGAAGGGCACGCCUGUUUGAGUGUCAUGUUCAUCUCAACCCCUCUGGUUUUGUUAUGAAACCUCUGGGGUUGGAUUUGGGAGCUGCUGGCCUCGCAAGAGGUCGGCUCUCCUUGAAUGCAUUAGUGGGCAUCUGGCUCGCGUUGCUGGUGUGAUAGUACCCCUUCAUCAUCGGCGGCGCUUGUCUAAUGGGUCUGCUUUCGAACCGUCUUCUCGACGGAGACAAAUAACUUCAUUGACACAUUUGACCUCAAAUCAGGUGGGACUACCCGCUGAACUUAAGCAUAU
rnacentral:rRNA from 1 species